GGGGAAGAUAAUGACUGUACCCAGUAAAGAAACCCCGGCUAACUCCGUGCCAGCAGCCGCGGUAAUACGGAGGGGGUUAGCGUUGUUCGGAAUUACUGGGCGUAAAGCGCGCGUAGGCGGAUCAGAAAGUUGGGGGUGAAAUCCCAGGGCUCAACCCUGGAACUGCCUCCAAAACUCCUGGUCUUGAGUUCGAGAGAGGUGAGUGGAAUUCCAAGUGUAGAGGUGAAAUUCGUAGAUAUUUGGAGGAACACCAGUGGCGAAGGCGGCUCACUGGCUCGAUACUGACGCUGAGGUGCGAAAGUGUGGGGAGCAAACAGGAUUAGAUACCCUGGUAGUCCACACCGUAAACGAUGAAUGCCAGUCGUCGGGUAGUAUACUGCUCGGUGACACACCUAACGGAUUAAGCAUUCCGCCUGGGGAGUACGGUCGCAAGAUUAAAACUCAAAUGAAUUGACGGA
rnacentral:rRNA from 1 species